rnacentral:lncRNA from 1 species
GUAAUGAGCAAUGACAAAUUUUGUAAUUAGUCUAGUUAAGAAAGUGUUUUUGAAUAUAUGAAGUGAAAGAGCUUCUGGUGUUGACACGUAGAAAAUGACACACAUGUAAUAAACACAUGAAGUAAAAGUUAGUUAUAUAUAAUGCUCCUCAAAUAAGAUUUUUUAGUUUUCCAGAUUUUUGGGUAUAUAUAUACUCAGGUGUUUAGGUGAUUAUUUCUUGUUUUUGUUUUUGGAUUUUCUGAUUAAUUUUGAUGUUCAAAGAUACUUUCAAG